rnacentral:misc_RNA from 1 species
AAAAAAAAAAAAAAAAAAAAAAGAAAAUUGACAAGAAAAAAAUGCACAACAAAUGAAUAUUUCUCAUCUGCCCUCACCAAUGAUCUCAUGAAGCAAGGCUGUGCUACCACUUGGUUGUUGAUGCCCUGCGUCGACGACCAAGCUUGUACUCGUAGAUGAACUGUAAUAGCUAUUAUCAGUUCCUUUGGGUGCAUCAUCAUCCAUAAAACUUCUGCUUAUAUCGUCAAAUUUCCAGUCAGUCAAGUAUCCUGGUCUUGAAGUUACACGGCUCACUUCAAUAUCACCAGAUAACAUUGCCACUACACGUGACAUUGAUGGGCGAAGAUUAGGUGACGUUUGGGUGCACAAAAGAGCAACUCCUAUCAAUCGUUUUACUUCCUCCUCGCUGAAUUCUGGUAAUUUGGAGUCUACUAGUUCUACUUCACAGUUGUUUUCAUGCAGGUGCCAAGCCCAUUCAAGAAGGUACAUCUUUUCUUCUUCCAGACUUGAGUCUGAAUUUGGCCUUCCGCUUAUGACUUCCAGAGCCACAACUCCAAAGGCAAAGACAUCAGCCUUUUCUGUAAGGUGUCCACGCAUAGCAUACUCCGGGGCAAGAUACCCAAUUGUCCCUGCAACACGAGUGCUUAUAUGGGUCUUUUUAUCAUCAUAAAGUUUUGCCAAACCAAAAUCUGAAAUUUUGGGGAUGAGAUCAGAAUCAAGCAGAAUAUUGCUAGCCUUCACAUCUCUAUGUACAAUUCGAAGCCUUGACUCCUCGUGAAGAUAAGCAAGACCUCUGGCUACUCCUAAGCAUAUCUCAUAACGUGUUGGCCAGUCGAGAUUCAAAUUUGUUUUUUCAAAUAGUGCUUGAUCCAGGCUCUUGUUCUCAAGAUACUCAUAAACAAGGAGCCGAUUAUUGCCCUCAAUGCAGCAUCCAUACAAUUUCACAAGGUUGCGAUGUUGCACAGCAGAUAUGGUAGCAAUCUCUGUUACAAAUUGACUCUUUCCUUGGUGGGAUGCCAUAGAAAGUUGCUUAACAGCAAUCACCCUCUCAUCACCAAGUUUUCCCUUAUAAACUGGUCCAAAUCCUCCCUCUCCAAGCUUAUUUGCAUGACUAAAGUCCUCUGUAGCAGUCU